GGGGGGGUGCGGAGUCCUAUACUGCAGUCGAGCGGACAGAAGGGAGCUUGCUCCCGGAUGUUAGCGGCGGACGGGUGAGUAACACGUGGGUAACCUGCCUGUAAGACUGGGAUAACUCCGGGAAACCGGAGCUAAUACCGGAUAGUUCCUUGAACCGCAUGGUUCAAGGAUGAAAGACGGUUUCGGCUGUCACUUACAGAUGGACCCGCGGCGCAUUAGCUAGUUGGUGGGGUAAUGGCUCACCAAGGCGACGAUGCGUAGCCGACCUGAGAGGGUGAUCGGCCACACUGGGACUGAGACACGGCCCAGACUCCUACGGGAGGCAGCAGUAGGGAAUCUUCCGCAAUGGACGAAAGUCUGACGGAGCAACGCCGCGUGAGUGAUGAAGGUUUUCGGAUCGUAAAGCUCUGUUGUUAGGGAAGAACAAGUGCGAGAGUAACUGCUCGCACCUUGACGGUACCUAACCAGAAAGCCACGGCUAACUACGUGCCAGCAGCCGCGGUAAUACGUAGGUGGCAACGUUGUCCGGAAUUAUUGGGCGUAAAGGGCUCGCAGGCGGUUUCUUAAGUCUGAUGUGAAAGCCCCCGGCUCAACCGGGGAGGGUCAUUGGAAACUGGGAAACUUGAGUGCAGAAGAGGAGAGUGGAAUUCCACGUGUAGCGGUGAAAUGCGUAGAGAUGUGGAGGAACACCAGUGGCGAAGGCGACUCUCUGGUCUGUAACUGACGCUGAGGAGCGAAAGCGUGGGGAGCGAACAGGAUUAGAUACCCUGGUAGUCCACGCCGUAAACGAUGAGUGCUAAGUGUUAGGGGGUUUCCGCCCCUUAGUGCUGCAGCUAACGCAUUAAGCACUCCGCCGGGGGAGUACAGUCGCAAGACUUAAACUCAAGAAAAAUUGGCCGG
rnacentral:rRNA from 1 species